rnacentral:rRNA from 1 species
UGGCGGCGUGCUUCAUACAUGCAAGUCGAACGAUAAGGCACCUUCGGGUGUACAUAAGUGGCGGACGGGUGAGUAAUAUGUAGAGAAUCUGCCCUAGAGAGUGGGACAACAGUUGGAAACGACUGCUAAUACCGCAUAUGAGCGUACCUGAAAUGGUAUUCUUGAAAACUCCGGUGCUCUGGGAUGAGUCUGCAUCUGAUUAGCUAGUUGGGGGUGUAAUGGACCACCAAGGCGACGAUCAGUAGCUGGUUUGAGAGGAUGAUCAGCCACAAUGGGACUGAGACACGGCCCAUACUCCUACGGGAGGCAGCAGUAGGGAAUUUUGCGCAAUGGGGGAAACCCUGACGCAAGCAACGCCGCGUGACCGAUGAAGCCCUUCGGGGUGUAAAGGUCUGUCAGUGGGGACGAAUAUUGACGGUACCCACAGAGGAAGCAUCGGCUAACUCCGUGCCAGCAGCGGC